CGGACGGGUGAGUAAUGUCUGGGAAACCGCCUGAUGGAGGGGGAUAACUACUGGAAACGGUAGCUAAUACCGCAUAACGUCGCAAGACCAAAGAGGGGGACCUUCGGGCCUCUUGCCAUCGGAUGUGCCCAGAUGGGAUUAGCUAGUAGGUGGGGUAACGGCUCACCUAGGCGACGAUCCCCAGCUGGUCUGAGAGGAUGACCAGCCACACUGGAACUGAGGCACGGUCCAG
rnacentral:rRNA from 1 species